GGAGUCUAGCAUGUGCGCGAGUCAUUGGGAUCACACUAAACCUAAAGGGGUAAUGAAAGUAAAGGGUCCGCCUAGCGGGACCCAGGUAGGAUGGGCGGCCUAAGGGGCCGGCCCCCGCACUCCCGGGGCGUCUCGUUCUCAUCGCGAGAUGAGGCGCACCUAGAGCGUACACGCUGGGACCCGAAAGAUGGUGAACUAUGCCUGGUCAGGACGAAGUCAGGGGAAACCCUGAUGGAGGUCCGUAGCGAUUCUGACGUGCAAAUCGAUCGUCGGAACUGGGUAUAGGGGCGAAAGACUAAUCGAACCAUCUAGUAGCUGGUUCCCUCCGAAGUUUCCCUCAGGAUAGCUGGCGCUCGCCGCGUGCGAGUCUCAUUCGGUAAAGCGAAUGAUUAGAGGCAUUGGGGUCGAAACGGCCUCAACCUAUUCUCAAACUUUAAAUGGGUGAGAUCUCCGGCUUGCUUAAAUAGUGAAGCCGCGAGACACACAGGAUCAGAGUGCCAAGUGGGCCACUUUUGGUAAGCAGAACUGGCGCUGUGGGAUGAACCAAACGCCGAGUUAAAGCGCCUAAAUCGACGCUAAUGGGAUACCAUGAAAGGCGUUGGUAACUUAAGACAGCAGGACGGUGGCCAU
rnacentral:rRNA from 1 species